ensembl:lncRNA
GGGAGGAGCGCCGCUAACUCGACCACGCUCGCUCCCGUGAGGCGGCUCGCUUGCCGGCGAUCUCCGACGGACGGCUCGCUAGGAGAAAUGAGAAAAUGGAACCGAGGGAGCUUGUGAAAGAGGAGAUCCUUGAGACAAAGCGCAGUGCCAGCCAGAAGCUCAGCCUCGGAUACCUGCACGUGGCCGUCAGACAGAAGAUGGGCAUGAAGACGAGAGCAGAGACAGACCCUACAUUGCACCAAGGCCACGUCAGCUAUGCAGGAGACAGUGGACCUGCAAAUGCAACAAGAAACAGGUACACACACACACACACACACACACUCAGAGGAGAGACCCCUUCACCAGGGGCUCCUACCCAACGCACGGGGUCCGCUCCUCAGCCGGAGGGCACCCCAGUUCCACCCACACGCAAGGGGAACCCUUGAAAACUUCAGGGCUAAGCCCCAUCUCACCCGCACGCACGGGGUCCCCUCCUCAGCCGGAGGGCACCCCAG